GCGACCCCAGGUCAGUGGGAUUACCCGCUGAGUUUA
rnacentral:rRNA from 1 species